UGGAAGUGAAGGGUUUUUUGAGAGGAGCAGCUGAGAGUUUCCUCUGUGCCUGAUAAAACUAAUCAGCUCUUGCUAUCUGUGACUACUAAAAUGUUUUCCAUAAAGUGGAUUUGUUUCAACAUAAGGAACAUGAGGGGAAUUGUACUUCAGAAUAGUCAAUGGCCCUAUAUAUCUUAGGGGACUCCCAACAGGAGGUGGAAUGCCCACAAUUAUACUCUACAUGAUCCCAUAGGAUACAAAUUGUGUAUUCAUCAUUGCAGACAGGGGAUACAGAGACAUUUCUCCCUCCUUGUGAAAACACAGCUUGUACAUGACAG